AAAAAAUGCCACUCAUCAAACACCGCUAAUUAGAAAUCCUAAAAUACACUUUAUAAAUUAAUAACCAAAAUUAAAUUUAAUCCUAUCAACCUAAUUAAUUUAUACCCACCCAGUUAUAUAUUAACCCACCCAGCCCUUAUUUUUCAUUUCUCUCUCUCACUCCAUCGUUCACCUCCAUCGCGAUUUAGAGCUUUAUUCCAUCGCCGUCGUUCGUGAUUUUUUCAGUCAGUUUGAAGUUGUUCACUGGUUGUCUUUAUUUUCGGAAUCUUCUCUCGCACUUUCUCAUUGAUCUCAUGGAUGAAAAUUCCGAUUUAAUAUCUUUUGUGGAAGAGAAAGAAAAAAUCGAUGAUUUGGACAACUAUUACCUUGUCGACGCCAGAAACGGCAAAAAGGUGAUGGAGAAGGCCAAGUUGGCGGUGGGUUGGCCGGAUUCGUUGUUGUUUUCUACUGGGGGGUUCGAUUCUCAUCCUUCAUCACAAACCGGGUAUGAUGGCAAAGAAUUUGGCCCAUAUCCAGUGGGUGCGAUCGAUUCGGAUGAAGUAGUGAUGAAAACUUUAGAAAAUAUGAUUCACCAAAAUAUUGAUACUCCUCGGGCUGGUAUAAUUCCUUUACCCAUUACUAAUCAUGAAGUUGAUGUUGUUGUUGCUCCUUUGCUUGAUGGUCCCCCGUAUACUUAUAAUUUCUCGAGAAUUUUGGGCCCUUUCAGAGGACCAAGACACCCAAAGCUGAGGGAUCUCAUUGUGGGAAUGUGCUUGAUUUAGGUGCCUAAUGCGAUAAUUCUACUUACUGAUGUGGGGUUUCAUGAAGUUGUAUGAAUGUCCCCUCCUCAAGGAUAUCCGGAAAUAUUCAAAGACAAGAUUGAUACAAAUGGUGGCCCUUAGAAUGAAGAAGCGUGUAAAAGAUGUGAUCCAUCACCCUCAUUGGGCCUGGAUAGGUUUAUUGGACUUGUCUAUAUAUAGGUAUAUUGUAUUUGUUGAGUAAGAAAAAACCAAUGUAUAGGGUUUCUUGAGAAUGGGCUUAUAAAUUGGAUUGAUGUAUAGUCCAAUAGGCCUGAUAAUGGUAGUAGGGUCCUAAAUAAUGUCGGGCGAAGAAGGAUGAGACGGUCGAUAAGGAGGUCGGACAAGAUGAAGUCGGGCAAAGGAGGAUGAGACAGCCGAUACGGAGGUCAGACAAAAUGAAGUUGAGCGAAGAAGGAUGAGACGGCCGAUAAAGAGGUCGGACAAGAUAAGGUCGGGCGAAGAAAGAUGAGACGGUCCAGACGGUUUUUCAGUCGGAUGGUGAUUUAUGAUCCAUCUAAAAAGACGGUUAAGGGAAGUUACAACUGGUGAGCGGAUCGAACAAGUGGAAGACGGGCAAGAGGAGACGUAGCAGCAGGUGUGCUGGUCGGACGAAAAGCAGUUCUAAGACGGUUGAGAGAAGUUACAACCGGCGAGCGGAUAUGAAGGCACGACUUGGUUGUGGCGGUUGACAUAGGUUUUAAAUAGGUCUGUUCAUGACCUAAAGAAACCAUCUUCAAUCGACAUCAAAUUUAGUGAAUUUCUUUUGGGGAUCACCAUUUUACUUUUACAGUAUGUAGUAUUUAUUUUUCUUAUUUUACUUAUGUAUCGUACGGUGUCUAGGCAUUCUUAAUCUCAGGUAUUUUAUGUUAUCAAAUUUGAAGAUAAUUUUUAUU